CCCGACUAUCUCUCCGUCGGCCAGUCCGCUGUCCCCUCCCUCUACACCUUCUUCGCCGUCGCCUAUUUCGCUGCCCUCGCUGCCUGGAUCUACAUCUGCUUCCGGAACCGGCUUGACGCCCACCGGAUCCACCUUCUCAUGGCCGGCCUCCUGCUCGCGAAGGCCCUCGACCUCCUCUUCGCCGCCGAGGACCUGCACUACACACGCACCACCGGCACGCCUCACGGCUGGGACGUCGCUUUCUACGUCUUCAAGUUCGUAAAAGGUGUCCUCUUCUUCACCGUCAUCGUCCUCAUUGGCACCGGAUGGUCCUUCCUGAA
rnacentral:lncRNA from 1 species